rnacentral:lncRNA from 1 species
UGAGCUAACAUUUCCUGAAUCUCUUAUUUCUAAACAAAGCAGGAAAUAAACACCUAAAACUACCACAUCGCUAGCUAAUCGUACUAUCAGUUAUACAAACUAAAAUAAUAGUUCGAAUGUCCAGAUAUUACAAGAUAAAUUAGUCCCUAGUGUUCAGUUAUUACAAAAUGAACCAGUUCAAAUGUCUAAUUACAACAAGGUGAGUAUAUUAAAACCAACGGAGGGGAAAACAGGAUGAGGAUUCAAAACAAAAUUGAAGUGGAUCUUCAUACUUAAGAAUACAUUCUAUUUGAGCUUCAACGCAUCAAUGAACAUCGAAUGUGCCUGUAAUUCAGCAGAAAAUGGAAGCCUAUGAGUAAAUGCAAUUAAUCAGCCAAACAAAACUAUAGCCAAUCAAACAAUACACCCAGGGCUUCAGCAGAUUUUUGAGAGAAUUAAAAUCUCAAAAUGAUAAGAACCGCACUGAUCUUUUAUCAAAGAUAUAGGAAGAACUAAUAUGUAUUUUUCUCUUCUAGAAUUUAAAAGAAAGGUUUCGGAUCCUUCAAAAAAUAUCAAGAUUGUUUCUUUUAUAGUGGAGCCUUAGGGCACCAUUUUUCCUUUGUUUUUUUCUUUUAGUCCAUGAGUUAGUUUUCAGCUUUUCUUAAUUGAUCCCUCAUUUCCUGACUUGUGCCUCAAGCUUGAGGCAGAAUUUGUGUUUUAGCCCUUCACUAGAAUGUUCUAGGGGCUAUUAUCAUAUUCUUUUAAGGCUAAAAUCCCUUUUAUACCCCUAUUUCUUUUCUAAAUAACCAACCUGAAGUUUUAACCUCAGUCUAAUGUCUGGUUUGGUUACAAUUGACCCAGGUCAAUUAUGUUCACAUUUUGGGUCAAAUGUAGUCUUGGACUAAUAGGCUUAUUAAAGUUCAACAUUGGCCAAAACUAAUCAGGCUUUAAAACAAGUGCCUUAAUGUGAUUUUUCAAUAACCAAACAUUAUACAGGAUAAUCAUUCAAUAUCAAAAGCAAUAAAUCAAAAUGCCCAGAAGAGGGGAAUCAUCCCUAAACACUUAACUUGCAGAAACAAAUCAAUUAAAGUACUCAGAGAUCUUGGAAACGAGAAGCAUACAGCAGGAAGUGAACCCUUAGUUCAUGAAUCAAAUUAGAAAAGUAAAGCUAACAUUAGCAAUUAAAGGUCCAACCAAACAAAUCAACCUAAACUAAUACCAGUACUGAAAAUUAAAAUUACUAUUAAAAUCAAACACUUAAUAGUAUGAACAAAUAACCAAACUAAUCAGAAUAUUAGGGAACAAAACAAAUGAAGAUCAUGAGAUUGAGGUCAACAAAACAAAGAAAUCACACUACUGAAGAAUCGAAAAACUAGGCUUUCAGAAUCAAGGAGCUAAUAUUAACAGGAUAUCAAAUCAUUCAAGAGACGAAAGGAUUUCAAACUAAUAACAACCAAAGGAAUAUAACUACUAAAUCUAUUUCAUAUGAGAUUGUGGAAAUACAAACAAGGAAUCAAAGCAUCUAACAAUUAAAAAAAUGAAGCAGAUAUAUACAAGCGAAGACAGAGUACUUAGCUUUUGUUUUACACAUGCAAAUCCACUUGAGACCAUUUCGUUGGUUCCUGGCCCCUUCUGCAGAGGUUCUUUAAACUUCUAGGGCUAUGGGCCUUGUGGAUAACAAGUUCAGGAUUUUAUGACAGGGAACUGGUGAUUCUUAGACCCUGUGAGGUCUCAGAUGUGAGUUUUAUCGGUGAUUGGUGGUAUUUGGUGGUUGUGGGGGGUAUGGUUGGGGAAAGAAACAGACGGGGACUGUCUGAGAUAAGCCGGACCAAAUUCCGACAGGGUUGAGUUUUUGGGUUGAACUUCAAAUUAAUAUUGGACACGUUUUGACUGGAUUCGAAGGGUGUGACACAUAUGGUUGGAAACUGGAGGUUGAGGUUUUUUAGGGGUGUAUGUUUGGAGGGGUUUGGAGUUGGGUCGCCGGAGAUGGGGGUUCCGAUGACCUUUCUGUGAAGAUUUGAGACGAUGGGGGGUCGUUUGAAGGGAAAGGACUGCAGGAGAGGGAAGGGGAGGUCCUGGUGGUCCUAUGGUGUAAAGCUGGGGAGGUUUGGAGCAAGGUCGUCGGAGAUGGUGAUUCCGACGACCUUAAUUUAGAAUAUUCGAGACGGGUGAGACUUAUUCGACGGAAAUCGAUUACAGGACGAGAAAGAGGGGGUUUUGAUAGUUUGAUGGUGUAAAUCUGGGAAGGUUUGGUAACCGGCCGCCGCCGUGAGGCGAUUUCCGGCAGCGGUGUUAGGGUGGUAGACGAGUGGUCAAGGGUGGUGUUACGUUGGAGGUAGAUGGUACGAGGAAGAAGGGGAG